GCCUGGGUGGCUCAGUCGGUGAAGCGUCCGACUUCAGCUCAGGUCUAGAUCUCAUGGUUCGUGGGUUCGAGCCCCAUGUCGGGCU
rnacentral:tRNA from 1 species